GUGCCAGCCGCCGCGGUAAUACGUAGGGUGCAAGCGUUAAUCGGAAUUACUGGGCGUAAAGCGUGCGCAGGCGGUUUUGUAAGACAGGCGUGAAAUCCCCGGGCUUAACCUGGGAAUGGCGUUUGUGACUGCAAAGCUGGAGUGCGGCAGAGGGGGAUGGAAUUCCGCGUGUAGCAGUGAAAUGCGUAGAUAUGCGGAGGAACACCGAUGGCGAAGGCAAUCCCCUGGGCCUGCACUGACGCUCAUGCACGAAAGCGUGGGGAGCAAACAGGAUUAGAUACCCCAGUAGUCC
rnacentral:rRNA from 1 species